rnacentral:rRNA from 1 species
GCGGGAAGAGCUCAAAUUUGUAAUCUGGCACCUUCGGUGUCCGAGUUGUAAUCUCUAGAAGUGUUUUCCGCGUUGGACCGCACACAAGUCUGUUGGAAUACAGCGGCAUAGUGGUGAGACCCCCGUAUAUGGUGCGGACGCCCAACGCUUUGUGAUACACUUUCGAAGAGUCGAGUUGUUUGGGAAUGCAGCUCAAAUUGGGUGGUAAAUUCCAUCUAAAGCUAAAUAUUGGCGAGAGACCGAUAGCGAACAAGUACCGUGAGGGAAAGAUGAAAAGCACUUUGGAAAGAGAGUUAACAGUACGUGAAAUUGUUGGAAGGGAAACGCUUGAAGUCAGACUUGCUUGCCGAGCAAUCGGUUUGCAGGCCAGCAUCAGUUUUCCGGGGUGGAUAAUGGUAGAGAGAAGGUAGCAGUUUCGGCUGUGUUAUAGCUCUCUGCUGGAUACACCUUGGGGGACUGAGGAACGCAGUGUGCCUUACGGCGGAUUUCUCGAGAUCUUCACACUUAGGAUGCUGGUGGAAUGGCUUUAAACGACCCGUCUUG